UAACGAAUAUUCCGCAAUGCGCGAAAGCGUGACGGAGCAAUGCCGCGUGCAGGAUGAAGCGGUUUCGCCGUGUAAACUGCUGUCAGGGGCAAGAAACACUGAUCUGCCCCAGAGGAAGAGCCGGCUAACCCUGUGCCAGCAGCCGCGGUAAGACAGGGGGCUCGAGCGUUAAUCGGAAUCACUGGGCUUAAAGGGUGCGUAGGCGGGCUUGUAAGUGUCCUGUGAAAUCCCCCGGCUCAACCGGGGAACUGCGGGGCAAACUGCAAGUCUUGAGGAAGCUAGAGGCGGGUAGAACGAUAGGUGGAGCGGUGGAAUGCGUAGAUAUCUAUCGGAAUGCCGAAAGUGAAGACAGCCCGCUGGGGCUUUCCUGACGCUGAGGCACGAAAGCGUGGGGAGCAAACGGGAUUAGAUACCCCCGUAGUCC
rnacentral:rRNA from 1 species